AAGAUUGCAUAAUGGAAGGUAUCUCAAAGCAACCCAUAAACACAUCUAUGCUUAUUACCAUGCAUUCAUAUUCAAUCCAUUUGUUACAUCAAAAUUCGUUCCAUUUACGAUUCAACAUUAGCUUUCAUGUAACUUCCAGAACUACAAAUUCCAUUGUAACAAAGCGAAUAUUAUUGACAACUUGUUCUUUUGUCAUUCUUUACAUCCCUUAAGUAAGGCCGAUCAGGGUACCGUAUCUCUGGUCUCUGGUGUAGGGGCGCUAUGCUAUUUGGAGCUACUGCCUCGCCUCGCGCCGCCGGCCCGCCGCUCACGGUGCGAAACCGGGUGUUAACACCCCAAAACCACGUGCGGGUGAAACCCAACUCCAUGGUUCCCAGUGGUACGGCAUCCUAAGGGGAAAAGGCUCUUUCACCAAAUUAGGUCUCCAAGGGAGACAACUGCAAGUUAGUAUCAAUAGAAGGCAGAGUAGACGUCAUAUAUCUCGUAUUAGUGGCCCAACUAAUAAAACCAUGCUGAUUGCCCUCGACGAAUGAAAUCAAUGCAUGCUUAUAUUGCGAAUCAUGCACAUAUUACAAGUAGACAUAAAUGUUUUACUUUGUAUCAUGCUAUCAUGGCUUUUCUCAUAAUUGUAACAUCUUAUCCUUUACCAUCAUUGGUUAUGUUGCCUCCUAAGGUUUUUCACUCUAGCCAAGGCUAACACCCGACUCGCGGGGUCUUCGGUCAAUCAACUGCGGGUAAUACCGCCCAAAACUUAGCUCAGGUGGAGGCAUGGGGACCGUCUAAUAGCACCUUCAACCUAGAAUGCCUUCUCAACUGCGGAUACCAAGAAACCGUAACACAGUAAUGCUGUACUUCAGUUGGGUUUUGGACCCAUGCUUAGCCGGCUUAACAUUGUUAACCCCAAUAACUCAUAGACCCAAAAUCCCUUAUAUUAGCGGGGGAUCGAACUCCUAGGGACCGUCUUCUGGGGGGACUUUACACGGCCCCAGGUUGGGUGGACCACUCCGGAGGGCACCGCGGGCGAGGGGGGAGCUGACCUCCCUCAAGCCAAGGACUGUUAUUCGGGGUGAGUUAUCGAUCAAUGCCUCAACUUGGAGGGCAUUCAUAGCCAACUAGUCACAAUGGCCAAUGUACAAUAGGGUUUCUACCUAUUUCGAAUCAUGCCUACUCUAUGUCAAUUGGUCCGGUGGGCCACUCUUGGGGUUACAAGCUUGUUUACACAACUGGUUCAUCAUGCAUAUCAAUGUCUUUAUUGUCAAUGUCGGCGUUGUGUUACUAAUGUCAAAUCAAACUCUCACUCACACAAUAAUAGUUCGCGCUAACGCAUACAUUCUAUUGAUGGUCUACCCUUUCUCUUGUUCGAACUACGUUAGAGAACAUGUGCAUUGAAAGUAACAAGGUCACAUGUACUUGCCCGUGUUAUGUAUGAACUGGGACUACAAAUGAUAUUUAAUGCCUCAUGCCACAGUUGUUUUGCUAGGUUCAUGACACGUAGUUCACAAACGUUAUACUUGUUCAAGCUUAUGUUUCAAUUACACUAGGUUUAAUUUGCCAGCUUGGAUGCUCAAACGACUGUUCUUUGGCUAGGUUCAUAUCCCUCCAUGUCGCACCUAUGUCCGAUGACUUCUAGGUUUAAUGCACUCGGAUCUAAUUGUUAAGAGUUGUCCCCCCAUAUGCCACAUUUCAUUUUCUUAACAUUAAGUAUCUCCUACAACCAUGAUAUCAAAGCUAUAUCUUAGCAUUAGUCAUCAUAUAUCUUGAGCAUUAGGGCACGAUGCCUUGAUUUAUUAUUCUUACAUCAUGCUUAUAUACCACUUCUAGCAUUUGGAUUCCAAAGUGCAUGCUUGAUCAUGUGAAGCAUUUAGACAGUUGAUCAAUGCAUUCUCUAGCACUUAUUUACACUAAGUCGUUCAUGCGUUUCCGGGCUACUGGUUAUCAUGGUUCUAUAAAUGUUCACCAUUCAAUGCCCUUUAUUCUUAUGCAUUUCAAGCUUAUCACAUGUUUAUCUAGCUUUCUAUAAUAUGUUACGAAUGCAUUUCUUGUUCAAUAUUAUAUGAUAACAGUGCAUCAAUUGAAACUCGAUUUCUUAGACGGAUAAGAGGGACGAACUAGUGCGCUUCGGGUCAGAGCACAACCCACCUCACCUUUCGCAUCGGAUUGCUUGAUCGACCUUGCAGCCCGCCUCGGACCGCCCGCGGGCGACCCGGAUCGGUUUGCCGAUCCCCUCACGGCGGACCACCGACGGAGCGGGGCGCCUUAAUUCACGAUUCGGAAAUUUAAAGGUCUUCGUGUUAUGGUGCCCGACGAUACUUCAAACCAUUUUCAUGAAUUUACGAUAUCGCCUCGGACCUCCAGGCGGAAAACGAAGCCGUAAACAAUCCGAUUUCUUUAAUAAGUUCGAACGGGCUCGACGAAUCGCGACCGUCUCGCCACGCAAUUCGUUUGUACCUAGCAAUUUGGUUUACGGAGGCGUCAAAUGAGUGCAAAUCAUACCUUUUACAAAACCUCAUUCGGAGCCGCUAACAUGCACAUUAACUAAACAUAAUCCAAAUUAAAUAGAGCAAGACAUGUUUAGAAUGCGUUCGUUUAGAGGCUAUUAGAGACACUUAAACUAAGGAUAAGCGCAAAUCCUAAGCCUUAACACAAUGUGAAUGCCGCGACGAAAAGACGCCGUACAACGGGCGCGCGAAAGCUCGAGUCCGUCGCUCCCACCGCGUUCGGCGAGAUUCUUCUCACCAACGCAUGCGAAUAUUGACGCGAGGAGAGUGAUGGAGGAGAUGAGAGGAAAAUCUAGAGGAGGGAGGAAUUUUGAAGGUUUCUCUCAUAGCACCAUGCGUGCGUGUGUGGGUGUCGGGAGGCUGAAGGAGAGAAGAAGGAAGCGUUCCAGCUUUUUAUAAUACAACCCCAAGACUAGCUAGUUCCACUCCCUGGCGGGCAGCUUGAAAUCUGAUAACUUUUCGCCGGAGGCUCCCUUGGAGUGUCGUUUGGCUCAGAAUGACAGUCAUUAUUGUUUGCUACGAUUAGCUGAAAAGUAAGCAGAUACGUAUUUUCAGUUUUCAUUUCUCGACCCCAUUUGGUUCACCGAAACUUGUGCCGAACUGUAAUCAUUAUCAGCAUAGCUGGUCGGAUUUUAUUUCUAUUCUACGGUGGUUCAGAAAAAAUCUUGAAACCUGUUAAAUCUAGCCUCAUAAAAACUUAUUUUCGGACUUAUCGCUCCAAUUUUCAUAUUUUCUGGAGACUGUGCAUUUUCUGCUAAUUGCUAUCUGUCUUGCUUUCCAGACAGAGAAAUUGCGGUAAAUCUUCUGUGUUUUCAUUCGAUUUCCAGCACAACGUCACUUCUGCGCUUAUUGUUGCGUUUAUUCUAACAAUCAAUAAGAUCCAGCACCAAGUUUCUCACACGUAUUUUUAUUUAUUUUUAUUUUUACAAAUGGGCUGGUAUGUUACACCUGGACUUUUUUGGUUAAGUCCUGGGGGGUUUCACUCUCGGGGACCGGGUCCGCUGGGGGUGGGUGAGUGUUGGAACCCCACGAUAAGUCCUCAUCAUAUAAGAGUUAUAAUAGGGCUAAACUUCUAAUAACCCGACUUAAGCAUUUUUGCGGGUGGUGGCCUAGACCCAAGAGGCUAAGGAGAGUUAAGCUGCUAAGUACCGGGAGUAGUCCGUAGGAUGGGUGACCCCUGGGAGAGUCGCGAGUGUCACAGGAUGGUAUCAGAGCCCAUUACCAGCGGUAGUGUGAGAUGACGUCUCGGCUGAGCCAGGAGUUGUGAUGACGGGCUAGCGAGACGAGUCUCACAUCGCCUGGUACUUGUGAGUCUGAGCCUGACGAGGACGUCAGGGCUUAAAGGGGGGGAGAUUGUGAGACCCCAGAUAGUCCUAUAUAUAAGAUAUAAUAGGGCUAAACUCUUAACCCGGCUUAAGCAUUUUGGGUGGUGGCUAGACCCAAGAGGUUAAGAGAGUUAAGCAUGCUAGGACCGGAGUAGUCCUAGGAUGGGUGACCCCCUGGGAAGUCGCAGUGUCACAGUGAGAGACCGGUCCCCUGUUGCGUGGAUGCGGCUGUUUGCCGAGGCAACCGGUCCCCUGGCCAGGGAGACCGGUUCUCGAACGUGUGUUUUGCGGGAGGGUCCGAGAGACCGGUCCCAGGUGCGGGGAGACCGGUCCCUCAUCCCGAAAACUGCCCAGACCUGGCAGUGCACUGUUUUGACAGUUGAGGAGGCUUAGUGGAUUUUGUUACUUUAGAGGGCUUUUAGGGCUUUUCCUCUCUCUCUUUCCCUCACUUUUCACUCUCUCACACUCUUUAGAAAGAGAAGAAGAAGGAGAAGAAAGAAAGGGAAGAAUGAGGAGAAGAUGAAGAGAGCAAGGUGGACUUUGUACUUCCCCCACACCCUCUCUUCUCACCAUUGGUGGCUUGGAGCCUGGGCUAAGAGCUUGAUAGAGGAUCAACCUUCAACCCUAGAGCAUUUUGAGCUUGCUUUAGAGCUACCAAGGAGGUUAGUAUGCUUAAUCUACUCUUUGGAGCAUGUUUUGGUAGGUUUUACCAAAUGAAACCCUAGAUUUGAGAUUUAGGGUUUAUUUUUGAGGCUUUGAUUAAAACUUUUGGAGCUCUAUUGAUUGGUUGAGAACCUUGGUAUAGGUUGCUUUGGAAGGGAUUUUGGCUUCCAUUUGGGAUUUCUUAGAGGAUUUCUACGCUAUCGGUGAGUUUUUCACCCUUAUGCAUGAGUUGCUUAAUGUUGAGUUUUGGGAUGUUCGUAAGGUUCAUUUAACUCUUGUUCCUACAUCUUUUUGGUGCUAGGAGACUAGUGGGCACCUUCGUCGGAGCAAACGAAGGGUCGCAAGAGUUGUGGUAGGUUUGACUUUAUGAAAUCAGGGCAAAAUGGCCCCUAUGUGUAUUACACUUGUCGUAACGUCAAUUUGAUUGCAUAUUCAUGCUAAAUGGGAUUUAUGUGAAUUUUAGAACACUUAAAAUGCAUGUGUUAUAUAUAAUAAAAAUUUCACUCUAUAUAGUGGAGCUAUAUGUGUAGGCUGCAUGUAUGUGGAAGUGUUUAUCUUUGCGAGUUGAUUACAUGUCUCGUGUGAGGGAAAUGAUUAGAAUUAUGUAUUCAUGAACAUAAUUAUCAUGCUUUGACUUAGUGAACAAAAGUGUCAUGAAGGGGCACAUGAACUAGCAAAUUGAAAAACUGCAAUAUAGAGACAUAGUGAUAGGCCAUUGACAUCUACUAUAUUUCAUGUUUUAGACAUGAUGAUAUAGAGAUAGGCCCUUGUGACAUUUGAUAUAUUCCAUAUUUUAGACAUGAUGACUUGAGACUUGAGACUUGAGACCUGAGACUUGAGACGGAUCUUACGCUUGCUUGCCAUUGUGCUCAUUCGCACAUGCUUGUGAGGGUCGCUCCCUACAAGCCGGCACUCCGGAGAUGGCCAUCGCGAUACAUAUUCGCCGUGCGGGAUUGGGCGCCGAAGUGGAUUGUCGUGGGGAAGGCUUAUUCCUAUAAUGGGGAUGUUGACUACCACGGGGCCAUUAGGCUCGGCACUGGCCAGACAGCCUACGGGUGGGUCUACAGGCCAGACAGCCUUCGGGCGGGUCUUCAAAGAUUUAACUUUAAGUAGUUAACAUGCCAAGUGAACAUUGACUAGAAGAGUAGACAAUGACAUUUUACUAUCACAUUGUGGACAUUAUGAUGGUUGUAUUCUCGUGCAUUUUCAUGAUAGAAUAGCUUUCUUACUUAUGCAAUUCCAUGCUAAGUAGAGACCUCAUGUGGUAGCAAGUACUCAUGUUUAUUUAUUUGUCGUAUAUAUCGCUUUUGCUUAUACUUGUACAGACCCUUUUCCAGUUUUGGGCCUAGCAUGGCGCUUUUCACUGAAGUCAGUAAUUGCCCACUGGGAACUAUUAUUUAAUAGUUCUCACGCCAUAUGUUUUAUGAUUUUAUUUCAGAGCCUUCGGCAUCGGCGGAGGCACGGGAUCGCGGCAAGGGUGUCGCCUAGCUAGAUAGCGGGAAGCUACUUGCUCUUAGGUGGUUACUCUCUUUUUGUGUUUUGUGAGAGAGAGAGAUUUUUGUACCAUGUAUAGAGACCACCUAUGUACUAUUUUAGCUCUUGUUUUUGGAUAUCUAUCGUAUUACUUAUGACUUUUAUUUAGUGGCUUUGAACUUCUUUUACCUUAUCAUGAUGUAGAAAUCUAGUUAUACUUUGCUCUGAUACUCCUAGAUGCUCUUUUACUAUUGCUUUAUUUAUCGUUUUAUUGUAGACGCCUUAUAUGUUUUAGACAUAUGGCGGCGGGUUUGGGCACGCGCCGGGCGGGCUUCCGCUGGGUCCCAGGGCGUGACAAAAACAUAAGCCGAAGAAGCGCCUUCGGCCUGUUGGGAUUGCGAAUGUGGUCUCUUGACGACUGACUUACACCGCUUUGGAGGCAGCGGAGGAGUAGUUGUGUAGUUUCAAUCGGUCUUUUUUCUGAAGCUGGGACCGAUGGAGAAACUGGAACUGACUGCAGAUAAAAACAGAUAAAGAAAAAUAAGCGUCACUUGAACUAAGAAAAGAAAAGUGAAAGUAAAUAAGAGUUUAUUACAGAAGAAGAAGGUGAGACAUCAGAGGCAGUAUCAAAAAUCUAAUCUGAUUCUUCUUUCGGUACAAUUGGAGUAGCAGGAUCAACUGGAAGAUCCUUGCUUGGAAAAGGUACUGUUGUAGCUGAGAGACAAAUAAGUAAAAAACUAUAAAAAAAAAACUAUUGUUAUAAAAAGAAAGGAAAAUAAUUAUAAGCAAGAAUUGUAUCAAUUGGGAGAAUAGUCUGGCGAUACGCUUGUGUUGCAGAUCAGCUGAAAAUGUGAUAGGCAAAAUGAUCUCAGGUGACGGUAUAGCGAAAACCUACCACCCAUGUAUAAUUCGGCCUGAAGCUCACUAAUUUGAAGAACCGCCGAAGGUGAUUCCCCAUAGCCGAAAUUCGAUCAGCUUCGGCUAUACUUUUGGUAGAGGGGUCAGUUAACGACAGUAUUGGCCGUGAAGAACUUGGCUGGAGCAGGGACUGCUUGAGUAAAUCCAAAUUGACGAGCUACGAACUGAGGAGAAUAAACCUCAGUACUAUGCAACAGUUUCGAGCGCGAUUUCAUGCCAACGUGCAAAUCCCUUGUUGCCAAAAAAGAGUACCGAACAUCUUCAUAUUCGCCGGCACGAGAAGAAGCAAGUUCGUCUUGAAGGGCUUCAUACCUUGCUAGAAGCCAAGACGGGCCGGUGACACGGUCAGCCAAUGGAGACCAAUGAAUGGAGAAAUGAGGACGAGACUCAUAAAAUAUUUUAAAAUAAGAGAGAAAAUCAGAAGGGUGACCUGAUGUUAGUGGCGGAGGACAGCCGAGAGCCAGCCCGUAAGAAUCAAAAUGAGCAGCCGAACCCGUAUCCAAAGGAGUUCGGCACAAAUUAGGGAAAUAAAUCUGCAAAAACAUUUGCAAAAACCAGAAAACACCACAACCCGAACUGAUCAUUACACCGUCUCCAGAGGGUAGUGGUUUGAUGGAAUAAAAAAUUUCUCUAUAAACAAAGGUAAGAAAGUAAGGCCCAAGAGCUAAUCUGUCGCCGUUAGUUAAACCAACGACGAUUGGGAUGAAGUCCCGAUUAAUCUUCUGCGAACGAAUACAGAACAGAUUGUGACAUAACCAAUAUAGGAGGAACGCUGUGUGUUCCUUCCUAGUGACAGGAGCAGGGGAUUCACCUGCAAAUUUACGGAGAAACAUGGAAUAAGCCAAGUCAGCGAGGUCAAGGUGAGCCUCAAAGUCAGAUACGCCAUCAGGAUUGUAGGCCAUGGAGAGGGUAACACCAUGAGGCCGUAAACCAACGAUGGCAGCUACAUCUAAGAGAGUCGGAGUAAGAGGUCCCCCUUUAAAAAGAAAAAUAUUGGAAACAACAGACCAGAAACAGAGAGCAGAGGCCAAAAGAAGGUUGUCGGCUACAGGAGGCUUCCGAGAUAGCCGAAUAGCUUCAUAAAUCCCAACUUCCAGCCAAAAGUCACCAUAGGCAGCCUCCACUCGAUCUAACCAAAUCAAAGAAGCAUCUGAAACACUAGGCCAAGUUCGAAGGCUUUUUCCUGUUGAAGCCCGGGUACCAGGAAUGGAGAUGAAUGGAUUUGGCCACUAAUGGAAGACCGUCGCUAGAAUAAGGGAAAUCAUCGGCAGGCGGGUCUUCAGUAAAGGAGGGACCCAAAAUGAAUCUAGUAGGGUCCGUAACGAGAUACGAUUUGAGCAGGGUAUAAUCCAGCGAAGGACGAGUAGGUAAAGGCGGGAGCGGCUCCAUUAUUCGAAGCGAAAAGACGUUAAGGAAGAAGAGAAUGAGCAGAAGCUGUGGACGAGAGAUGGAGAAGAAGUUGAAGAGAACGAGGAAGAAGUAAAGAGAAACGAAAAAGACAAAGGUUGAGUAUAAAAGGGAAUUAGAAGCUUGGCGAAGAAGAAAGGUUGGCCGUCGUGUCGAACCGUCGCAUCGAAGCGAGUUUCGAGGACGGUUAUAAUGAUGAAUGGACGGUGAUAAUUAAGAUGACCUAAUUAAUGCCGCAUGUAAGACAAAAAUAGAUGGCGAGAUCGGGGCCGUAGAAAAGAAAUGAAUGGCUGAAACCAAACCGUACAAAGGGUUUGGAAAUUAAUUAAAUCGAGGAUCGCGCCUCAGAUUAUGUCAGCCACUCGGACAGAGAAUUUGAAAUUGAUUGGAUUGAGAACCACGCCUCGGAUCGCCCUUGUUAUUGAAGCGAUGGCGGGAUUUCAGCAGUAGAAAGAAACGGACGGUUGAGACGGAACCAUACCAAGAAUUUGAAAAGUGAUCACACCUCGGAUUACGCAAGCUACCGAAGCAUUACUUUGAAAGCUGCCGAGGGGGCAAUUGUUGAGCCAAUAAGGCGCGGACAUAUGGUACACCGGUACUCCAUUCAAUUGUAUUGAUUCGCAGUGCACCGAGAGCAUCGGAAGGAUUUAAAACCGCAUAAUUUAAAAGAAGUUACAGUAACCGCAAGCAGUUGCAAGCGGUUUCGAUCGGGCUAGAAGUGGUUCGAAAAAUUAGGAAGUAAUGGCCGAUCGUGUAAAAGCAAUAACUAAUCAAUAGGGCAAUCUAUAAAUAGAAAAAUAACGCCCUAAAAAGGGGUCUUUUUCCUGUGAACAAAAGACCGCCCUUAUUUCCUUGCAAUUUCCUACAUUUUCUAGGAGUACUCUACUUGUAACUUUUACUUUCCCGCAUUUACUGUUCUUCUUAGGAGUAGUUCAUUAAGUAGAUCAACCGAGUCUGCAUGCCAUCGAGCACACUCAACCCCUGUACUUCUUACCAGUUAAUAUAAAGGCAUUCGGCUUUUCAAGCCGACCAAUUCCUGUGUUCUUUAGUCAUUCGGCUUUUCGGCCGACUUCAGUUCUUGCUUCGUCCGUACAUUCGGCUCAUCCAGCCAAAUUGAAUUUAUUGUAGAGGUUUCAAACCCGGCUGAUUCGAUCUCUCGUCAGCCGAAUCGCUUGAUCGAUCGAAGGGCGCAAACUUCGAGGGUCACCAUCCGAAGCCGUUUUUCAUCCUGACACGCUCCCCGAGGAGGAUUUUUGACCGGGUCAAAGGUCAAGGAAUUCAGCUCGCAACAGGCUCAAAUCUGUAAAAUCCAAAAAGACGGCCUACUUUUACAAAAGCUCAAAACUAAUAGAUUUUUUAUGCAAAUUGGCCAUUAUUUUUUGAUAAUUUUGGCCAUAGGGGUUGUCUCGGGGCUUUUUUAUAAAAUAACCCUCCAAAAAUUUCAAAUUGACAAAAUAACUCUAUCAAAAUUUUAUUUGAAAAACUAACCCUCCUUUUGCCACGUUGGAUUUUUUCUAUAAAGGCGGUGAAUCAUUCACCGUCUUUCACUGUCUUAUCUGUAUUUAACUUUAGGACUUAGACAAAUUUCGAUAAAUUUGGGGUAUUUUGCACUAAAGGCGGUAAAUCAUUCACUGAUUCAUCGCCUUUAUAGCAAAAAUUUGACGUGGCGCCUACGUGGCGAAAGAAGAGUUAUUUUUCCAAAUAAAAUUUUGACAGAGUUAUUUUUCAAAAUUUAAAAUUUUGAAGGGUUAUUUUAUAAAAAAGCCCAUAGGUCUCGACUAUGGCUGGCAAAUGAGCGAGCCGGCUCGCGUUCGACUCACGUUCGACUCGAUAUUUGGCUCAAAAAUAUUUCAAGCCCACGAGCUUGAGUAUUACUCGGCUCAAGUUCGAUAAUUAGGCUCCGAAAAAGCUCGAAAAGCAUCAAUAUAUAUAUAUAUAUAUAUAUAAUAUAUAUAUUAUAUAUUAUAUAUAUAUAUAUAUAUAUAUAUAUAAUAUAUAUAUAUAUAUAGAGUAGGCUGGUAUGCUUAUGGAAGGCACGGAGCCUCCGUGCUUCCACUUUGUUUUCAAUUUUCCGGACUUUCGAAUCGACGAUCGCUCCGUUAGAGUUGACUAAGUAUUUGAAAGUACGAGAAAAUAAAUUUGUGAUUUGAUAUCAUUUGCCUAGUGAUCAAAGGACCUCAAAAUCAAUAAUUUUAAUUGCCGUGUGAGCGGUUGCAAAGUUUAACGGUGUAGAAAUAUCCAAAUCGCAUGAAAUUUUGAUAGAAAAUCUUUAUACAUAUAAAACAAGAUCAACUUUGAUCUAAAAUUUAAGUCAUAUCAUCAUAUUUGUAAGAUUUUAUUUUCACCGUUGAUUUAUUGAGCCACUUCAGAUCACCUAGGCAAAUGAUAUCGAAAAAUCGCAAAAUUAUUUUCUUAGAUACUCAAAAUACUCUAGAUCAAGUCUACAGGGCCGAUCGUCAUUCGAAAGUCCAACAUUGAAACAAAGUGAAGCACGGAGCGCUCCGUGCUUCCAUAACAGCAUACCAGACCAGCCUAUAAAUAUAAUAUAAUAUAUAUAUAUAAUAUAAUAUAUAUAUAUAUAUAUAGGAUACUAGUCCUUUCGAUUUUUCUAUAUAUAUAUAUAUAUAUAUAUAUAUAUAUAGGAUAUGGUGCUUUCGAUUUUUUGAUUCUUAGAUCAACCCCUUUAAUCAUUUCUUUGAAUUAAUACUAUUAUUAUCUUGUAGGACCACUCAAUCCUAGGGAUAUUAUUUAAACCUAGGGGGGACCGCAAUCAUCCUAACCAUAUAAUUUUUAAUCAAAGGGUCAAAAAUUCGAAAACAUCAAAUGCUCUACAUUUUCGAUAGCAUAGUAGUUCUACACUAUAUAUAUAUAUUAAAAAAUAUAUAAAUAUAAUAUAUUUUAAUUAUAUAAUAUAGGCCGAGUGAAUAAUCUGAGUUUAGUUAAAAUUGGGCCAAUGUUGUUGGCCCAUAAAAACAAACCCAAUAGACAAAUAAAAGAGCAAAACUUCACUAAAUUUAUACAUUUUUGCUUUCUUUCUUUCUUUCACAGAACUAUAAAUUUUCAAUAUGUUUUUCUCUUUAUCUUUUUCUGUCUCUCACCCUAAGCGGCCAAGUCGGAAGCCCUCCAAGUUACCAAGUAACAGCAUAUGCCUGCCGUUGCCUACCUUGCUAUUAAUUGUAUGCUUGAGAAAAUAUACAGAAUAUUUUUAAAGUAAAAAAUUAUUAUUCAUAUAAAAUUUAAUUUUUGUUAUAUAUGAUUGGAUAGUUUAAUCCAAUAUUCAUCUAUAUAAUUUAUUUAUUUUUGACUGUAUAAAUGAAAAUGAAUAAUAUGGAGAUUGAAGGCGGAAGAAAAGACAUAUGAGGCUGAAAAAAUUAGAUAUUCAACUCAUAAAUUAUUUUUUUCAUAUUAUAAAUAUAUAAUUAUUUUGUACUUUGAACUAUUAGACAUAUUUUUGUAUCAAAUUAUAGAUAAUGUUCUAUACAAAUUAAACUAUUGAUCGUAUGAUGUUGAGAAUUUCAAGCGGCUCGUUUAGGGCUCGAGCUCGCUCGACUCGAAAUUAGGCUCGCUCGAGCUCGGCUCGAAUUAAUUUCAAUCCAAUCUUGAGCUUAAAUUUAAGCUCGAAAUUAAUUUCAAGCCGAAUUUGAGCCCGGCUCGUUUCCACCCCUAGUCUCGCCUAUUUAACCACUUUCUGCAAUCCGUUUGUCUGGUCCUAGUCCUUGCUGUCUAAGUCAAUUAGAAUGAAGGAAGAUGGCGAAUGCCCAGUUAAUCACUCCGUCCAUACGUUUCACUAGCAGGGCCCGGACUGCGGAGGGCCAGCGGUGGUGGUGCUGCAGAAAACCGAUCGACGACCCCGCAAUUAACGGGAAAGGCAAACAAAAAAAAGGCAAAAAUGUCGGGCGUUGAGGUUGAAGUAUUGGCGUAUCGGGUGGGGUAGGGUGGUUUGCUGGUUGACUUUAAUUUGCUUCCCGAAAAACAGAAACGAGCUGGAUUUUAAAAAAAAAAAAACAGUAGGGCGGGGGGGAAGAGGAGACCCGGACAGGGAAAAGGGAAAUUUUUGCAAGAAAAAGAAAAAAAGGGGAAAAAAGAGGAAAAAGCAGGCAGGCAGAAAGAAAAGAGAGGAGGAGGAAAUUAAGAAGGGGGAGGAGAAAUGAAGGAAGGAAGGGUGGAGCAGCUGCUGGGGCUUCUAAAGGUGAAGGUGGUGAGAGGCGUCAACCUCGCCGUCCGAGAUGUCAGGAGCAGCGACCCCUAUGUCAUCCUCAGGAUGGGUAAACAGGUUAUUUACUUGCUUUACUUUCAUCCCUCUUCGACUUUCGCUAACCCUCCCUCUGCGUUCAUCUCUAUCACUCCCUCCUCUAUUCAUAUCCAAGUCUUGUUUUUUGUUUUUGUUUUUUUUAAAUGAAAUAAAGCUUUUCCGAUUCUUUUCCCCUUCUUGAUAUACGAUACGACUCUGCUAUAUUACCUAGUCUUCUUGAUGAGCAACAUUAAGUUCUAUAACCAAAAGGGGCGUCGCGUUUAUUUAUUAAUAAUUUUUUUUUGAGCUUUAAUUAUAAACAAAAGAGAUUAUAAGAUUAGUAGAAAAUGUGGACGGUUGGAUAUAGAGUUGUAAAAUUACAACCAACUUUUGGUUGGUGGGCGCUUUUGGCAGAUACCCAUAAGGUACCUUUUUUUUUUUUUUUUUUAAUCUUUUGCUCUUCUAUAUGCUGAAGGGGGAAACUCGUAACGGGCCUUCCUUUGUAUCUGAUCAUAUUUACCUGAUUGUUUAUUUGUUUGUUUUCGCUUUGUAUGUACAGAGCUUGUAAUGCAAUGCGGUUUUACUCAAAAAAAAAAAAAAAAACGAAAGGAAAAGAAAAGAAAAAUUUGACAAAUGGUUCUGAUGAGUUAACUUGAUAAUUAUCGACUUAUCCGAAAGUAUAUCGACUUAUCCGAAGUAUUCAUUCAUUAUUGCUCUUUUUGUUUAACCAUAUUAAAUUAUGAGUACUUCGGUGAGGAUUUGAAGCAAUGAGAGCUUCUCCUUUUCUUUUUAUUACCAAUCUAGUGUUACUGCUUAAUAUCUGGUCUGCGAUGCGAACUGAUUUUAUUAUCCAAGAACGAUUUGGGGCAGGUAAAGGGAAGAAAAUUGACCUGCCCCUAAUCCACUGCCAAGUUCCACUGCAAAUUUGCCUCGAAUUUUUCCAUAUUAUUACUUAAAUUUUAUGAAUUUCUUUGGAUUUUUCCCAAGCUUGUAUUGGAUUUUUAGUUGCUUCUUCAUGAAUGUAUUUUGAGAUUUAGUUGCCUUGCUGAUAUUUUAUUUUAUUUUAUUUUCGUUUUGAGUCAAAUAAUGUAGAUUGAAUUAUUUGGGUCAGAAUUCAUAUAAUAUAAAGAUGAGGAUGUGUAGUUAAUUGGUAGGAAGGAUUUGGGGCUUCAGAGAGAGGCUUAUUUCUAGGUAUUGGUUGUGACUUGUGUGGGUGGGGGUGUAAUGUGGGCCGUGCUUGGUCGGCACAGCCGCACAGCCCACAUUACCUGGGCCAAAACGGGCUAGGGGCUUGCUCGGGCUAGGCCGGGCUGGGCCGCAGUGUUGGGCUAGAUCUUCCAGGUUCCCGGCCUAGCACGGCCCUUCAGCCUGGAAGGCACAGGUCGAACCGUGUCGGGCCGGGCUUUGUUUUAGGCUGGUCCUUUAAUUUUUUUAUUUCUAAUUUUUUUUAAAGAAUCUAUAAAAUUUUAAAAUGUGAAAGAUCAAAAUAUUUUUAUUUAAACUAAUGUUUUGAUACAAAAUUUUAAAAUUUACAAGAAUAAUUGUAAAAUAAUCAAAAAUAUUAUUUUUUUUUAAAAAUUAUAAAAAAUUUAAAUUUUAAAAAAAGACUUAGUGUUUUGGUCCAAUGGGCCAAAAGUGUUUUGGUCCAUACCCGGUCUUCUAGACCUUGGGGCUGCGUUUGGUUAGAGAACUAAAUUUUGGAGAACAACUUUUGUUGUUCCCGAGAACAGGGGAUAUUCCGGUAUAAGAUAGAACAAGAUGUAAAUUACGUUUGGAUGUUGUUUGUUUGUUCCUAGAGAAUAUUCUUGAUAGUGUUUGGAUGUUUAUGUUGGAAUAAGGGGUUGGAAAGAUAAAAAUUAAAUAAAAUGACAAAUUUGCCCUUGAAUAUAAAAAUCAAAUAUGAUUUAAUAAAUUGAGUAUUAAAAUAAAUUAAUUUACAAAUUAAGUAUAUUUGUAUAUUAUUUUGAAAAUAUUAAUUUAGUAGUAUUCAAUUUAAAUAUUUUUUUUCGAAACUAAUUUAAAAUAUAAAUAUCUAAAAUGGAAUAGCACUUAUUAAAUUAAAUUAAUCAUUUAAUCGAUUUCUUUUAAUUUACUAAAUUAAAUAUUAAUAAGUCAAAAUAGUGUGGCUUUUAUAAAUAAAUAAAAUUUUCAAAAAAAAUCCUAAACACAUCCUAAAGGGUUAAAGGGCAAAAUGGUAAAGUAACUAAGCCUCCAAGUUGUUCCCCCUAAUUCUCCCAUUUGAGGAGAACUAGCUUAACGGGUUGUUCCUGGAACAACCCGUUAAGCCCGGAACAAGGGCCUUGUUCCAUUUUGCAUUGUGUUUGGGGGGAUAAAGAGGGAUAUCCCGUCUUGUUCUGGGAUAUCCCUCCAACCAAACACAGCCUGGGAGAAAAGCCUUGGGCCUGGGGGGUCGGGCCGUGCUAUGUCGGCCCACUUAGCACGACCCACGCUGGCCGGGCCAUGCUAGGCCGACGAGCCCAAGGGUAGCGGCACGGCACGGCUCAAAAUAAUAGGGCCUGGCCAGGUCGAACCGGCACGGAUACUGUGGCAUCCGUGCUGUGUUUUAGCCAGAUCAUAGUCUGUCCGUUUGACAUCUCUACUUGUGGGGAUCGCUAAUUUACCUUGACACAAAGGUUGCGCGGAAUACUUUGUGGGGCAUGAGGUAAUGUGGGCCUCUCGCCCGAUCGUCCAUCUCGUUUUCAUUCGUAGGGUGUACCCAACAAAAUCUGCUUCAACUAUCUCUAUAAGCACUGACCAUACCUAGCGUCAUUGUAUAAGGGUUUGAUUGUUGGUACCUGAGAUCCCAACAAGUUUGAAUUCUAGUUGCUUUACAUUUCUAGCUGAGUUCAUUCCUUAAAAUAAAAAAUGAACAAAGCCGGUAGUUUGCUACCUUUCUCUGUCUCUCAAGAAAAAGAAAACCCUAUAAGCCAUUUUCAAUGAUGUUUUUCCUUUCUUCUAAGGAUAUGCUAUUGCUACUUUUGCAUUAGACGAAACGGAGAAAUAUAAAAGUGGAACAAAUAAAAACAAGUCUCAUAACUUGUUUCUCUAUGUUAUUUAUUGAUGUGCUUAUAUAUGUCUAUGACCGUACAUUCAAAUAUCACAUAUUGCAAAUAAUUUUCUUCAUCCUUCAUUAACUGUUAUUUUGCGAAUAGCAUUGCUUGCUCAUGAUAUAAUUCGUUCAUAACAAUUUUAUUUGGAAUUUUUAUACUCCUGCAGGCAUUGGCGUUUCUUUAUUCAUUCAUAAUAGAAAGUAUUUGGUCUUUCUCAUAAAUGGUUAAAAUCAUUGCAAAGACAGCAUAUAAAUGAAGAUCAUUGUAAAAUAUAAUUGGGUUGAACCACAUACGGUCUAUUAAAAUCUUAACAGGACUGAACUAUUUUUGUAUAUAGCUCUAUUAGAAUAAGGACCAUGUGUAAAUUAAAAAUGUAGAAUUGACUCUCUUGGAUUCACGUCGGCACCAUGUUGGUCGGCAGAGGGUUUUUUUUUUUUUUUUUUUUUUCGUUUUUAGGUAAAUAUAUGGAUACCCCUCAACUAAAGGUCAUUUUGAAAUAGAGCCCUCCACGUUUAUAUUUUUUUUUAAAUUGAGACCUCAUCUUCCUUUUUUUUUUAAACUUGAGUUUUUAUACUUAGGUUAAAAUUUUACUCUAGUUUUAUUUGUUAAAAAAAUAACUAAAGUUACUAAAUUUGGUAAAAUUCCCAAUGAAUUUAUUAGAAUCCCCAAUUUUUUUAACUUAAAUUAUUUAACUCCAAAAUAAUUAAAAGCUAAGGGGUCCCAAUCAAAAACUAAUAGUUGAGGAUUUGGCUUCAAAAUGGCCUAUAGUUAAAGUUAAAAGCUAAAGGGUUCCGAAAAAAAAAAAAUAGUUGAGGAUUCAAUUUCAAAAUGGCCUAUAGUUGGGGGUGUCUCCAUUUAUUGUUACCUUUUUAUUUUAAGUUCAGCAAGCAAGGUAAAUUAGUUGGCGCGCUUGAAACACAGUAAACCAAUUUCCAGGCCCUAAUACGGCCAACAAAAUAUUGUUUUCCAUAUGAUAUUUUUAUUAUUAUGUUUCUUGACUUGUUACUCGCCAACCUUUGUAUAGUAAAUGUAAAACAAAGACAGUAAAUGAAAUAGCAUGUAUAGAACACGGUAUUUAGUUAACCAUGUUUCUGUGAGUUAUUUUGCGCAUUGUUAGUUAAGGCUAACACAGUGUCUACUAUACCGUGUUUCGUGACUCACCCUUCGUAAGCUGAUGUGCAAGAGCAAAUGACCAUUUGUCAGACUAUCAGUUUUAAAUUAUUAUUUGGCUCAUUGUUACACUGUAGUUAGUGUUAGUUUCAUUUGCUACAUUAUGCUUUAUUUUUUUUCAAAGACACUAUUGUCUUAUUAUAUUUUAUCAGUCUCUACACUAUAUUUUAGAUUUAUUUUCUUCUUACUACCUUACGUUAUAUAUCUAUUUUUUCUCAUAGAUAUCAUUGAACUUUUUUUUUCUCGCCAAUCUCUACAUUACCAUCAACAAACCUAUUAAGAUAAAAUCUAACAACUUUAUUUAAGAGGCACUGGUUAAAUAGUAUAAAAAAUGUAAAUGAAUCUCCAUGAUAGACUCAUUGAAAACUUCUAUCAAAUUAUUUUUAAGCGUAACUUAAAGGCUAAAUUACAGAAAACCUUCCUGUAAUAACCCGCUUUUUCACUUUCCCCCCCUGACAUUUAAAAACCUACACUUUGCCCCCCUGUAAAAUGAAAAAUGUUCACAGGGGGGUUACGGUGUGUAAAAUGACCAUUUUGCCCCUCGCCAUUGUCGUCUUCUUCCCCAUCUUCCUUAGCCGCCCCUUCGUUCGGCCGCGAUUUCUACCUCAAUCGGCCGCGAUUUCUCUCCAUUUCCUUCUCCACCUGCUCCCCUUCUCCUCCUGCACCCUCGCCGCCCUCGAUUUCGGCGACAGUAGGAGAAAACCGAGGUGGGCGACAGUAGGAGAAGGGCAAAGAAGGCGAAGGCGAAGCGGUAGAGGACGGCGAAGGGGAUGUGGGUGAGGGCGAGGCAGUGGAGGACGGCGAGGCGGCUAGGCGGCGAGGCGGGGACGAGGUGGCGAGCCGGAAGGAGUCGAAGCAACAGGGAGAUGGCGGAAGGGUAUUUUCGGCAUAAAAAUAUAUUUUUUAACGGAACCCUGACGGAACCCUAACGGUAGGGGGUGAAGUGCACAUUUUUUAUUUUACAGGGGGGCAAAGUGUAGGUUUUUAAAUGUCAGGGAGGGAAAGUGAAAAAGCGGGUUAUUACAAGGGGGUUUUCUGUAAUUUAGCCUAACUUCAAAUUGUCUUCCUGUGGUUUAGCUCAUUUUCACUUUGCCACUUUGGUUCAAAAAGUUUCUUUCCCUCUUGUGGUUUAAUUUUUAUUUAAUCAAAGAAUUCUAUAUGAAAUAGGGUGAUAAAUAAAAAUUUUUAGAAAACCACAGGUGGCAAAAUGAAAAAUGCACUAAAGCAUGGGGGCAAAGUGCAAUUUUUUGAAUCAUGGGGUGGCAAAGUGAAAAUGAGCUGAACCACAGGGGGGACAAAAUGAAACUUUUUGAACCAUGGGGUAGCAGAGAGAAAAUAAGCUAAACCACAUAGGGCAAUUUGAAGUUUACCUUAUUUUUAAUUACUUUUUUGUUGUUUUUAUAAGUUUUGUUAUUUUUAAUGUCAAAAUGAGUUGAAUAUAUGACUUGCCACUUUUAACCAGUAUUUUUUUUGCAGCUUUCAUGUUAAAUUAUAGAUUUAUUGAGGACCUUUUUUUUUUCUAAAUAAUGCUAUAAAAAUUUCUUGUUUGCCAAAUGAUUGUUCCAAAAUUUUGUUUGGUCAACUAACCCUUCUUUUGCUAACUCAUUAUAAUGUUGGACAAAAAUAAGGAAGACGGUAAAUCGUUCACCAUCUUUAGAAAGCGGCGAAUCAUUCACCAUUUUCAUAUUGUUAUAGUUUUUUUGAAUUGGUAGUGCGGAUUUUUGUGAGGCUAUUUGUGACACCCCAAUAGUCCCACAUCGGAUGGGAAUGGGGUUGUCAUUGAUUUUAUAAAAGAAGUUUGACACUAGUAAUAAUAAUUGGGCUUAAGCAUUUUGGGCUGGUGGUUGGGCCCAACGAUUUAUUGUUGCUAGUGGACUGGGUCGUUACAUUUGGUAUCAGAGCCAAUCACCAGCCGGAAAUGUGUGGCGAGUUCGGCUCAGUCAAGGUCUAAAAGACAAGGUGAUAGGCUAUGCCAGGGUCUGGAUGACAAGGCUAGCGGAUGAGUCUCACAUCGCCUGGUGAUCUUGGGUUGUGUGUGUAAUUGGACUGACGAGGAUAUCAGGUCCUUAACGGGGGGAGUCUGUGACAUCCCAAUAGUCCCACAUCGGAUGGGAAUGGGGCUGUAAUUGGGUUUAUAAGAGACUUAAACACUAGUAAUAAUAACUGGGCUUAGACAUUUUGGGCUGGUGGUUGGGCCCAACGAGUUAUUGUUGCUAGUGGGCUGGGUCGUUACACUAUUAGGAUUGUAUAUCAAUUACUAGAAAUUUUUUUUUGAUUGUUAUCUGUAUCGGUAAGUUGUUAUUUUUUUGGGGGUUGUUAGAAUUGUGUGUGAUUUGUUGAAAUUUUUAAUGUGGUUGUUAUGAUUAUAUAUGGAAAAUUGAAAAAGAAACGGUAAAUUAUUCACUUUUUUUUUUUUUUUUACGGGAGAGACAGUAAAUGAUUCAUCAUCUUCUAAAUUUUAUUAAAGAUGGUGAACGAUUCACCGUUGUCCAAUUGUUUUUCCACGUUUGCGUUGAGUUGGAUAAAAUAGGGUUAUUUGGUCAAAUAAAUUUUUUGCAGAAUCAUUUGGCAAAUUAUAAACUUUUAAAGAGUUAAAUUGAAAAAAAAAUCUGUUUAUUGCUUAUAGUGUAGGGAUUGAAAUUAAAAUCUGUGACACCCCAGUAGUCUCACAUCGGAUGGAAAUGGGAUUGUCAUUGAGUAUAUAAGAGGACUCCACCCUAGUAAUAAUAAUCGGGCUUGCAUUUUGGGCUGGUGGUUUUGGCCCAAUGAGUUAUUAUUGUUGGCGGGUCAGGUCGUUAUAUUUAUAUUCUGGUCAAAAACAAAACAAAGCCUUCUCUUCACCUACAGUCACUGUUGAGAUAGAAUUUGCGGUGCACUUUAGAAUUUGUGCUCUUUAAGACCGUAUCAGUUAUGCAGAUUGAAUGUUAUCUAUCCAAAGCUACCUGUUAGUUGAAUUGGGUAUUAAAGUGGCUUGAAUUUUGACAAUAUUUUGUUCUUGCACUAACUUUUUCUUUGUUUCCUGUGAAAGAAUAAUCAUCUUGAAGAAUUACUAUAUAUGCAAUGUCAUCUGUACCUUUGGUUAAUUUAAGUGACAUGAUAAGAAACUAUUACUGUUCUGUUAGACUCUUACUGUAGAAAAAGAUAUCACUUGAUUGUGAAGAGCUCAACCAGCCGUUCUCUUACUGUAGAAACUAUUACUGUAGAAAAAGAUAUCACUUGAUUGUGAAGAGCUCAAGUAGUCGUUCUCUCAACUCUCCAUAUCUGUAUCUCUUAUCUUUAUAUGCAUUUCUGCAGAAGCUCAGGACUCGAGUGAUAAAGAAGAACACGAAUCCAGAGUGGAAUGAAUAUUUAACUCUUUCUGUUGAGGAUCCUGCUCUCCCAGUUAGGCUUGUAUGUACCUACCUCUUUUUAACAGACAUUUCAAUAACUUUCUUUGUUUUGAAUUUAUAUGCAAAAGAUAAAUAUUCCAAGAUAUUGUGCUAGUUAUUUUAUUUAUUUAUUAGUAUUAUUAUUACUACGCUUAUUAUUAUUUUUUGUAUAUAAUGCUGCCACUGGUGGAGGAAGCUCCUCUUAAAUCUUAACUCAAUGGUACAUUGACUAAAAAAGUGGAUGUGUGCUUUUAGUUUCCUGUGCCUAAAUGAACCAUUUGCAAUAUAAAGUCCAUUAAAUUUCUUCAGUAAAAUGAAGAAGAAGAAAAAAAAAAUUCAGUAAUAUGAAGAUAAUCUCAAUUUUGAGUCUCUGACGUAUAAUCCAUUGUUUGACUUUUGAAUGUGUAGAGGAACUUACUAGUUGUCAUAAACAAAAUGUAAGUACGAGUGAAAUGUUUAAUGACUUUUAACUCUGAGUUAGUAAGAGCUCUCUAUUUUAGGUUUCUUUUGUCACAGUUUUGAAGAAAAUAGAUCUUCUGCAGGGAACAUGGAUACUUGGUUAUUUAUUAAUGAAGAGAAAAGUUAAAAGUUAUCCUUGCCUUCUACUUGCUCCUAAUAAGGAUACAACUAGUUUCAGCCUAGGUUAUUUUAGUGGAACUGUUGGUAAACAGAGAAAUGAAGGAAAAAGGUAUUAGGGCUUAAUUUCCAUAACCCUAAAACCAAUACAUAUAUUAUGUGACAUUUUACAUAUAAAACCCUGAAAAGAAUAAAAAUUAUUAUACUAGUUAACACUCCCCCUUAAGAUGGUGCAUAGAUAUUUCUUAUGCCCAUCUUUAUACAAUAGAAUUGAAUGACAUACUCCCCAAUCCUUUAGUUAAAAUAUCUGCUAGUUGGUUCUGUGACUUAACAAAUGGAAUGCAGAUGACCCCUUUGUCCAGCUUUUCUUUAAUAAAAUUUCUAUCAACUUCUGAACUUCAACAUGUUUUGUCCUGUCAUGUUGUACUGGAUUAUGUGCAAUGUUAAUAGCUGCCUUGUUGUCACAAUACAACAUUAGUGGUGUAGUAUUCUGUAGUCCGAACUCCCACAUAAAUUUUUUAAUCCAAAGCAACUCGCAAGUGCCUUGUGCCAUUGCUCUAUAUUUUGCCUCUGCACUUGAUCUGGCAACAACUGUUUGCUUCUUGCUUCUCCAGGUGACUUAGUUACCUUCUACAAGUGUGCAAAAACCCGAUGUAGAUCUCCGAUCAUCUAGAGAGCCAGCCCAAUCUGCAUCAGUGAAUGCCUCAAUCUAGCCAGCCCAAUCUGCAUCAGUGAAUGCCUCAAUCUUCAGGUUACCAUGGUUUAGAAAUAGAAGCCCUCUUCCUGGAGCUGAUUUUAGGUACCUCAAAAUACAAUAAACUACUUCCAAGUGUGAUUUUCUAGAAUCAUGCAUAUACUGACUCACUACGCUUACAACAUAUGCUAUGUCUGGCCGAGUGUGGGACAGAUAAAUCAAUUUUCCAACCAACCUUUGAUAUCUCUCCUUAUCAACUACUUCUCCUACUUCAGCUUUCAAGCGAUGAUUUGGCUCAAUUUGUCACAGCCCGCGACCCCCCGCCUAUUUGGCCGAGGUCGCGGCGCCGCUAGUGCCGAACGGACAGGGUUUCCCCUGUACUACGGACAGAGUCUCCCCUGUACGUUCAAGGCAACGCAAUCAAUACAAUACGAGGGUUUCAACCAGGAACUGAUAUCAAUCAAGAUUGCAUAAUGGAAGGUACAAAACAAUAUAAACACAUCCUAAGUUAUUACAUUCAUUCACAUUCAUGCAUUUUACAUCUCAAUUCUCAAUUGCUUUAACUUCCAAAUACAAUCUAAGUAGUACAUCGUUUACUUAUUACAAUUUGAUACAUUUACUUUCUUUUCAUUUCCUUUACCCCUAAGCUUUGUAGACGGGGUACUGCUAGCUCUGGUCUCCGGGGUAGGGCGCUAUCUACGGAGCUACGCCCUUUCCUCGCGCCGCCGCGCCGCUCACGUACGAAC
rnacentral:lncRNA from 1 species